rnacentral:pre_miRNA from 1 species
AAGUUGUAUGUGAGGAUUGGAGGAAAUUAAAUAAAUUAACAUUGAAAAGUGCAACUAGUUUAUUUAAUUUCCUCCAAUAUCUCAUAUCCAGCCU